rnacentral:lncRNA from 1 species
CAUUAAUUAAUUUAAUGUCUCAGAUACAAGUUAUAUAUGAAGAGAUAAGGAUAAUACAAAGAUGAUUUCGAAAUCAUAAGCAUGUGAAGUCAAGGGAUAGGCUGUAAAGAUGCUUCACAUGCUUGGACAGGCUGUAAAGGUGCUUUACCUUUACAGCUAUGACCAGACCUUAUCCAAACUACUCCUUCCUUAUCCAGACUUCCUCUUGGGCGUGAUCCACUCUCCAAAGGGAUGCAAAGUAACUUCCUAAGCUUUUAACUUAGUUACCACAGUCAAACCGAAGUUACUGUGGUAAAACUCCAAAGUUACUAUCUGCCCCAAUACUCUUCCUCUAUCAAUGUAUCACCUCUUCUCAACAGCAGGAUAUUCAUUUUCUUGGUUUUGAUAGGUACUGAUGCACCUUUGGGAUAAUGUAUCAGGUACCAUUGCUUGAGGCUCACUAAAGGUGUUCCUGGUCAUUACCUAGCUUCUCUAAGGUGGCUGUGAAGUCUGUUGAGAGGGGGAGAUCCAAACCAGGUCUAUGAGGAGGGCAAGCCGUGUGUGAAGUGUUGAUAAGGCUCACUGGUGUUUGAAGAUACUCUGGUCGUGUCCUAGCUUCUCUAAGAUGGCUGAGAAGUCAGUUGAGAGGGGGAGACUUCAAACCAGUUCCAUGAAGAGGUGAAGCUGAAGUGUGAAGUGUGUGCAAAGCUGUGAAGAGUUGUUGCACCUAUUAGGCCUUGAUCCAGAGCUUCUUGUGUCCAACCACACUGGUUCUAAGGCACAAGGGCUCACUGGCCAAUCCCCAGGCCUUGAUGAACCUACUCUUUUUCCCAUACAAGGUUUUGUCCCAAAGGGUUUUCCUUGUAAGGUUUUUAAUGAGGGGAUUCUUCAAGGUUCCAAGCUUGACUUAGGAUCAGCUAAGGUCAAGCUUGAGGGGGAGUGUUAACUUGAAGAGAAGAAGUGGAGAAGCAAAGGUGAUGAGUUGAGUUGGUGCUUGUGCAAAGAUAGGGCAAGUCCUUCAGGGAUUGUCUACUAAGGCUUCAGGAGGGUCUGAGAGUGUCCAGAAGUGAUCUGAUGGUUGUGCAAA